UAGCGAAAGCGAAUCCUAAUGAGGGUGUUGUCAGUGGCAUGUUCUGGACCCGAAGCGGGGUGAUCUACCCAUGGCCAGUGUGAAGCAGCUGUAAGAGGUUGUGGAGGCGCGAACCCACUUAGGUUGAAAACUGAGGGGAUGAGCUGUGGGUAGGGGUGAAAGGCCAAUCAAACUCCGUGAUAGCUGGUUCUCCCCGAAAUGCAUUUAGGUGCAGCGUUGUGUGUUUCUUGCUGGAGGUAGAGCUACUGGUUGGUUGAGCGGGACUACAAUCUUAGCAAUGUCAGCCAAACUCCGAAUGCCGGUAAUGUUAAGCAUGGCAGUGAGACUGCGGGGGAUAAGCUCCGUUGGUCGAGAGGGAAACAGCCCAGAUCGCCGGUUAAGGCCCCUAAGGGUGUACUAAGUGGAAAAGGAUGUGGGAUCGCGAAGACAGCCAGGAGGUUGGCUUAGAAGCAGCCAUCCUUGAAAGAGUGCGUAAUAGCUCACUGGUCGAGUGGUUCUGCGCCGACAAUGUAGUGGGGCUCAAGUACACCGCCGAAGCCGCGGCAGUCAGCAAUUUUUUUGUUGGUUGGGUAGGGGAGCGUCGUGCACUGCUGUGAAGCACCUGGGUGACUUGAUGGUGUGGAGUGUGUGCGAGUGAGAAUGCAGGCAUGAGUAACGAAUGAAAAGUGGAAAACUUUUCCGCCGGAUGACUAAGGGUUCCUGGGUUAAGCUAAUCUUCCCAGGGUGAGUCGGGACCUAAGGCGAGGCCGACAGGCGUAGUCGAUGGAUAACCAGUUGAUAUUCUGGUACCCGUGUAUGUGCGCCCAGUGGUGAAUCAGUGGUACUAACCAUCCAUGGAUCUUCUGGUCAUGCUUUUGUGUGGUUGGUGGUGAUGUGCGUGGGAUCUUCGUUGGUAGUAGCCAAGUGAUGGGGUGACGCAGUGAGGUAGCUG
rnacentral:rRNA from 1 species